rnacentral:rRNA from 1 species
UACGUAGGGUGCAAGCGUUAAUCGGAAUUACUGGGCGUAAAGCGCGCGUAGGCGGCUAAUUAAGUCAAAUGUGAAAUCCCCGAGCUUAACUUGGGAAUUGCAUUCGAUACUGGUUAGCUAGAGUGUGGGAGAGGAUGGUAGAAUUCCAGGUGUAGCGGUGAAAUGCGUAGAGAUCUGGAGGAAUACCGAUGGCGAAGGCAGCCAUCUGGCCUAACACUGACGCUGAGGUGCGAAAGCAUGGGGGAGCAAACAGG